CUCUGCCUGUGUUUUGCCUGUAACUACUACCACGUUGGAAAAUCUGCUUUUGAUCAUCUCCCCCCAAUUUUUCCCCUUCAGUUCUCCUAAGUCUAUCCCAGUAUCCUUUAUAGAUACGUACUCCUGACUAAAGUAAUUAUGCAAUCAUAUCUCAGAAAUUCAGAAGUGGAGAUUAGGCUGUUUAGAAUGAAUUUAGCGUCUUUCAAAUGUAUGCUUACUUAUAAUAUUACAUUGAAUUAAAAUUAUAUUAAAUUAAACUAUUGGCC